rnacentral:rRNA from 1 species
AGAGUUUGAUCAUGGCUCAGAUUGAACGCUGGCGGCAGGCCUAACACAUGCAAGUCGAGCGGUAACAUUUCUAGCUUGCUAGAAGAUGACGAGCGGCGGACGGGUGAGUAAUGCUUGGGAACAUGCCUUGAGGUGGGGGACAACAGUUGGAAACGACUGCUAAUACCGCAUAAUGUCUACGGACCAAAGGGGGCUUCGGCUCUCGCCUUUAGAUUGGCCCAAGUGGGAUUAGCUAGUUGGUGAGGUAAUGGCUCACCAAGGCGACGAUCCCUAGCUGGUUUGAGAGGAUGAUCAGCCACACUGGGACUGAGACACGGCCCAGACUCCUACGGGAGGCAGCAGUGGGGAAUAUUGCACAAUGGGCGCAAGCCUGAUGCAGCCAUGCCGCGUGUGUGAAGAAGGCCUUCGGGUUGUAAAGCACUUUCAGUCAGGAGGAAGGGUUAGUAGUUAAUACCUGCUAGCUGUGACGUUACUGACAGAAGAAGCACCGGCUAACUCCGUGCCAGCAGCCGCGGUAAUACGGAGGGUGCGAGCGUUAAUCGGAAUUACUGGGCGUAAAGCGUACGCAGGCGGUUUGUUAAGCGAGAUGUGAAAGCCCCGGGCUCAACCUGGGAACUGCAUUUCGAACUGGCAAACUAGAGUGUGAUAGA